rnacentral:sRNA from 1 species
AAUAUUUACAUUUCCUCUGUCUUUUAAAACUGAACACCUAGGUGGGUUUUGUGGUGGGUGGUGAACGGACAGGUUUGGGCCUGGAUCCCCCACCCGACCCUAGCACCCACAGGUGGGGUUGCCCGCUCUACUGAUACGCCUCCUCUCUCAGCACUGUGGACCUGCUGGACUGGAGCAGCCUCAUCCACAGCAGGACCAAGCUCUCCAAGCACCUGGUGGUCCCCAACGCACAGGUAACAGCCCCGCUCUUCAGUGAGGCCCAACUCAGCGGGGCGCUGGGCUAAGAAGGGAAUUCAGCCUGCCACGUGUGUUUCUUGUUGCACACCCUGGGAACUUAACAUGACCAAGAUCACUGCACACUAUGGCCCCACAGACCCCCUGUGGUCCAGGGGGAAGAAGACAAACCCACUAGUGUCCACAGCGUGCUUGGUGGGACAGAGACCCACGCGGAGCCUUAACACGCCACAAGGAGAGGGGGUCUGGGGGCCUCCCCCAAGUCAUCUGUCUUGUGCAUCAGGCCACCCCAAACUUCAGAGGCCUGAAACGGCAGCAGCCACUCUGCUUCUGCCUCAUGGUUCUGAGGUUGACAGGGCUCAGCUGGGCAGUCCUCCCUUGGGGUCUCCUGGGUACUCACAGAGUGGUGGCGCUGGGACCUGGGGGAGGCUCACUUGUCUGGGAGUUGGUGCUGGCUGUGGCUUGGGCUUUUUCCCAACAUGGCAGCUGGGCUCUAAGGGCCAGUGUCCCCUGAGACAUGAGAGCCAGGCAGAAGCUGGGUGACCUUUUCGUGCCUCGCCUCAGAAGUCACACGGUGUCUUUUCUGCCAAGUUCUGUUUGUUAGAAGCAUAUCACCAGGCCAGCCUGUAUACAGUGGGGAGAGGAAUGAGACUCAUCUGCCUGUGGGAGGGGGGCCCAGGACCUGGCAGACUGCUUGAAACCACAACCUAAACUGGGAUUCGAAGAAAGAACAGAAGCACCUUCAGAAAACAUCCUGCAGAGGCAGCUUUCUAUGGCACAUCUAGCCCCAGUUCACUAAGGGCCCAGCCUCAAACUUAGAGCCCCUGACCCAGAGCCUCGGGGCGCAGUGUGUACAGUGUGGCUGUGCACCAGGGCCACCAGCUGUUGGAGACUUUAGCGCGGUGUAGCAAGGGAUAGAGCGGUACUGUUUGUGCCCAGUGAGGCAAGGCUGCUGGGGCCAGCAAAGGGGUGAGCGGGAGGCCCUGCGGGAUGGGUCCCCACGGCCUCUGAGCACCAGCUCCUUGAAGGCCUCAUCCUGGUGGUUGCCCUGGUCCCUGGCUACGUGUCAGCAUGUGCUGCAGGACCACCCUGUCUGCCCAUAGCCAGGGGUUCUUCCUCCUGGGCCCUCUUCCUGCUCUGUUUGACGAUUGGAUGGUCAGUGUUCACUUGCUCAGUGUCACAUGGGAGCUGCAGGGGGCCCUCCCACAAUGGUGGGGCCUUUGUGAGAACUGCGGAGACUGUUAGAGUACACACUUCGGGGUGCAGGCCUGGACUGAGCCUGGGGCCCACUGACAUGGGCACUGAGCUCCCUCAUGGUACCCCCAGGCCCCACAUAGGACAGUGCACUGGCUGCGUUGGAGGUUCUGGGGCACUGUGCUGCUGUGUCCAGGUGGCCCUCCCUCCUGGCCCUGCAUGAGAGGGUUCCUGUGGGCUGGGAACACUGAGAGAGGUUUAGCCUGGGCCUCAGGGUGGCACUUUCCAGCCCUCGCUGUGGGCUGACCACAUGUUGCACCCCCAGACAGGACAGCUGGAGCCCCUGCUGUCCCGGUUCACUGAGGAGGAGGAGCUACAGAUGACGAGGAUGCUACAGCGGAUGGAUGUCCUGGCCAAGAAAGCCACAGAGAUGGGCGUGCGGCUGAUGGUGGAUGCCGAGCAGACCUACUUCCAGCCGGCCAUCAGCCGCCUGACGCUGGAGAUGCAGCGGAAGUUCAAUGUGGAGAAGCCGCUCAUCUUCAACACAUACCAGUGCUACCUCAAGGAUGCCUAUGACAAUGUAACCCUGGAUGUGGAGCUGGCUCGCCGUGAGGGCUGGUGUUUUGGGGCCAAGCUGGUGCGGGGCGCAUACCUGGCCCAGGAGCGAGCCCGUGCGGCAGAGAUCGGCUAUGAGGACCCCAUCAACCCCACGUACGAGGCCACCAAUGCCAUGUACCACAGGUGCCUGGACUACGUGCUGGAGGAGCUGAAGCACAAUGCCAAGGCCAAGAUGAUGGUGGCCUCCCACAACGAGGACACAGUGCGCUUCGCACUGCACAGGAUGGAGGAGCUGGGCCUGCAUCCUGCUGACCACCAGGUGUACUUCGGACAGCUGCUAGGCAUGUGUGACCAGAUCAGCUUCCCGCUGGGUGAGUGGGGCCCUCCCCGGUGCGAUGGGGUACGGUGCUGGGCCUGGGCCUCAUGGCGUAUCUGCCCCCAUGCAGGCCAGGCCGGCUACCCUGUGUACAAGUACGUGCCCUAUGGCCCCGUGAUGGAGGUGCUGCCCUACUUGUCCCGCCGUGCCCUGGAGAACAGCAGCCUCAUGAAGGGCGCCCAUCGGGAACGGCAGCUGAUGUGGGUAGAGCUCCUGCGGCGGCUCCGAACUUGCAGCUUCUUCCAUCGCCCCACCUAGCACCUGCCAGCCCACCCUCAGCCUCCAGACCCACUCCACCCCCCACAGGCCAUCACCACAGCUGCAGCCAACCCCCAGAUUCACCUUUUUUCACCCCAAACUUGCAGAGCUGCUGGAGGUGGGGUCAGGUGCCUCCCAGCCCUGCCAAUGGUGGGGACACUCAGGUGUGGGCCGAACCUGAUACCUGCCUGGGACAGCCGCUGGGAACUGUUGGGAACUCUCCUCGGAUGUGUGGGCCCAAGGCCCCCACCUCUGUGACCCCCAUGUCCUUGGACCUAGAGGAUUGUCCACCUUCUGCCAAGGCCAGCCCACACAGCCCGAGCCCCUCGGGGAGCGGUGGCCGGGCUGGGGAGGCCUGCCUGUCAAUAAACCACUGUUCCUGC